UAGAGAGUAACAUAGAGAAGAAAUGGAAUCAAAAAGAGGUGAGGAAGAACAAUUCAAUUUUCCAACGAUGAUAGCAAUAAAGGGUCCUUCAAGCGUUAAGAAGACUGAAAUAGCCACCAAAUUAGCUGAUUUUCUUCACUAUCCUCUCAUCGAUGAAGCAGAUGUAAUCGUAGCACUUCAAAACUCCAUCACAACGUCCCCUACAAAUGACUCCAGUAUCUCCGCCGAAUAUUAUGAUGAAUUGCCUUUCAAAAUUGCUUGCCAAAUCACCUCAACCCAGCUCGAUCUGGGGCUGAAAGUUAUCUUCAACACUGUGCUCUCAGAACGUUCACAUUUUGAACAUUUGGUGCAAGUGGCAAAUUCCCAUGAAGCCUGUCUGCUCGUCAUUGAUUGUGAAGAUGAAAACCAUGGAUUCAAUGAUUGCUAUAGCGUUGGAAAUGUUCGAAAGCUCAAAAUCGACACUACCAAGGCAUUUGUGGUGGAGGAAUUUGUUCCUGCAAUGCUUCAAGCUGUAGAACUCCCUCAAGAAAUUAAUUUGGCACGCGAUGAAGGAGCGUUCGUUAGAGGUGUUUGAGAGCUGGCCCAGGACUUGAAGGGGUGGAAAUACAGCAAAGUUUAGGAAGUUGGUCAUGGCACACUAGGAGAAGCCAAGUAUAAUUAUUAUUAUGAAUAAAGAUCAUAAUCUCCAGUAGUGC
rnacentral:misc_RNA from 1 species